AUAUGAGGGCCUACAGAGUGUUCUGGUAUGAACUAUGAAGAUCCCAAAUCUAGAUUUAGGUCUGAGAUCACCUAGUCGAACAUCUGAUUUGAUCCAAUCCAUUCAAUUUGACAGACAAGAACUAGAGAAAUUAGGUGACUUGCUCAGCAGGCCACAGGUAAGCAGACAGAGCGAGCCAGGAUUUAGAGCCAGGUCCUCUAUCUGCAAAUCCAGGGAAGAGAUUGAAAGCUGAGCUUGGAUCUCCUACCAUGGACUUUAAGAACCCAAGGCCAUCUCUGCACCACAAUGAGGAUAUCAGAAUAAGGUGUUCCUGAUGCUGCCCUAUUGGUCUUUGUUGGAACAACCCUGCAUAGAACAAUCAGUGCAGAGGUUGGAGAAGAAAAUUCAAUGCUAAUGUGCUGGCCCUUUGACUUUGCUUGGAGCUAGAG